AUUGAACGCUGGCGGCAUGCUUUACACAUGCAAGUCGAACGGAAACAGGCCUUCGGGUGCUGACGAGUGGCGAACGGGUGAGUAAUGCAUCGGAACGUACCCAGUGGUGGGGGAUAACGCAGCGAAAGCUGUACUAAUACCGCAUGUGAUCUGAGGAUGUAAGCGGGGGACCGAACUGCAAUGUUUGGCCUCGCGCCUUUGGAGCGGCCGAUGUCGGAUUAGCUAGUUGGUGGGGUAAAGGCCUACCAAGGCGACGAUCCGUAGCUGAUCUGAGAGGAUGACCAGCCACACUGGAACUGAGACACGGCCCAGACUCCUACGGGAGGCAGCAGUGGGGAAUUUUGGACAAUGGGCGCAAGCCUGAUCCAGCAAUGCCGCGUGAGGGAUGAAGGCCUUCGGAUUGUAAACCGCUUUUAGCAGGAACGAAACGGUGUCCGCUAAUACCGGGCGCUAAUGACGGUACCUGCAGAGUAAGCACCGGCUAACUACGUG
rnacentral:rRNA from 1 species